GAUGAACGCUAGCGGCAGGCCUAAUACAUGCAAGUCGAACGGUGUAGCAAUACACAGUGGCGCACGGGUGCGUAACACGUAUGCAACCUACCUAUCAUUGGGGGAUAGCCUUUGGAAACGGAGAUUAAUACCGCAUAAGACAGUAACAUGGCAUCAUGUAGCUGUUAAAGCUUCGGCGAUGAUAGAUGGGCAUGCGUCCAAUUAGUUAGUUGGUGAGGUAACGGAUCACCAAGACGAUGAUUGGUAGGGGAUCUGAGAGGAUAAUCCCCCACACUGGCACUGAGAUACGGGCCAGACUCCUACGGGAGGCAGCAGUAGGGAAUAUUGGGCAAUGGGCGGAAGCCUGACCCAGCCAUGCCGCGUGCAGGAUGAAGGCGUUAUGCGUUGUAAACUGCUUUUUUAUAGGAAGAAGGAGACCUUGCGAGGUUUGGUGACGGUACUAUAAGAAUAAGCACCGGCUAACUCCGUGCCAGCCGCCGCGGUAACAC
rnacentral:rRNA from 1 species